AACAAGAUAUCAAAAAUUGCACAACCUUCUAAAGGACAAAUUAGAAAUGCCUCUCCUGAAGGUGGUUCUACAUUGCGGCAGAGUCUUUCUGAUGGUUCUCUGGAUACAGUGGCUCGAAAGCCUGCAGACCCUGAAGAAGAGCUUCGAUGGAUGUCUCAAGAAGUGCGUGGUUAUGUUGAAGCGGUCUUGAAUAGUUUGGCGGCUAACGUUCCCAAA
rnacentral:misc_RNA from 1 species